AAGUGAGUUUUGCCUAUCCCCUUCCAUCAGAAUCACCUGGUGAGCUUGUUAGAGAACAGAUUCUCAGGAACCACACCAGGAUUUCGGAUUUAGAAUUGAUGGUGGUUGAGCCUAGACUCUGUAUUUUUAACAAGCUCCCUAUGUGAUUCUUUUUCAUGCUAAAAUUUGAGAGCAUCUGGCCUCCAGAUCAAGUGCAAACACUUCAGAAUUGCUGAUGAGAAGACUGUGCUCAGAGAUGGUAAGAAACUCAGAAGAGGCACCUGGUGAAUAGGAGAUGUCUGGAACUUGAAUGCAGGGCACUCUUACUGAGCUGUGGAGAAAGGAGCACCAGAAAGGACUGCCUCGAAUGAGCAACGCAUGCAAAAGGAGGACAGACUGCGAAGGAGAGGGAAAAAGAAAAUUUUAUCUCAAACAUGUUUUCCAUAAUAUAUGUUGAUUUUGCAUUUUGUUUGUGUGUUUGAAUAUACACAUAAAGCAGUGGGAACAACAACAAAAAUCUGCCCAUGCUACAUAUUUUUUUAUCUUAUGUAAUAACUAUAAAGAAUUACAAAGAAAUAUCAGUAAUACAAUUCUUUACUUCAGAAAUAAAAACACAUUUGUUAUAUGUCUUUCAAUUUUUCUUAGUAUUUGUGCAUAUGUCCAUAUUUUCCCACAAAUUGCAAUCAUACAGUAUAUACUAUUUUAUAUAUUAUAUUUUCUGGCUGCAUAAUAUUUUGUCAGUUGGACACAGCAUAAUUUAUGUAACAAAUUCAUGUUGUUUCAUAUUUGGUUAUUUCCUAAUUUUCAACAUAAUAAACAAAUACCCUUGCGUGUAAACCCAUGUGUGCAUCUCUUGUUAUUUAGGAUGUAUUUCUAGAAUAGAAUUACUGGGGAAAAGAGAAUAAAUAUUUUAAACAUAUUUAUUCUUAAUGUUCAUAAUGAAAAUAGCUUUAAAUUGUUAUUAAAUAACACUCAUGUUGGAAUUUCAAAUAAUAUUUAAAAGUAAAGAAUUAAAUUGAAAGUCACCCUAAAUUCCAAUACUAUUAUAAUUGUGUUCCAUAAUACAAUUUUC
rnacentral:lncRNA from 1 species